rnacentral:rRNA from 1 species
GAAAAUGUCCGGGGCUGAAACACGACACCGAAGCUUAGGAAUCGAAAGAUUGGUAGAGGAGCAUUGAAUACGGAACGAAGCAGUACCGGAAGGAGCUGUGGACUGUAUUGAAGAGAGAAUGCCGGAAUGAGUAGCGAGAUUUAAGUGAGAAUCUUAAAGGCCGAAUAUCUAAGGUUUCCAGGGUAAAGCUGAUCUUCCCUGGGUAAGUCGGGGCCUAAGGCGAGGACGAAAGUCGUAGUCGAUGGAUAACAGGUUGAAAUUCCUGUACCGCAUAUAUUCAGAAAUGUGGGGACACAGAUGGAGAGUACAACCCGGGAAUGGAUAGACCGGGGCAAGCGAGGUAGGAGAAUGGCAGGCAAAUCCACCAUUCAAUCUGAAGACGUGACGCGUACCGAACAAGAGUAGGGAAGUGUAUGAGCCAGCUGUCGAGAAAAGCCGCUAUUGUGAUAUAUGCGCCCGUACCGUAAACCGACACAGGUGGAUGAGGAGAGAAUCCUAAGGCCGGCGGGAGAAGUGUUGUUAAGGAACUCGGCAAAAUGACCCCGUAACUUCGGGAGAAGGGGUGCCUCGGAAGAGGCCGCAGAGAAAUGGCCCAAGCAACUGUUUAGCAAAAACAUAGGUCUAUGCAAAACCGAAAGGUGAGGUAUAUGGGCUGACGCCUGCCCGGUGCUGGAAGGUUAAGAGGAGAGCUUAGCGCAAGCGAAGGUUUGAAUUUAAGCCCCAGUAAACGGCGGCCGUAACUAUAACGGUCCUAAGGUAGCGAAAUUCCUUGUCGGGUAAGUUCCGACCCGCACGAAAGGCGUAAUGAUUUGGGCACUGUCUCAACAACACACCCGGUGAAAUUGAAAUACCAGUGAAGAUGCUGGUUACCUGCGCCAGGACGGAAAGACCCCAUGGAGCUUUACUCCAGCUUGAUACUGGGAUUCGGUACUACCUGUACAGGAUAGGUGGGAGGCUUCGAUCACGGGACGCCAGUUUCGUGUGAGCCGCUGUUGGGAUACCACCCUUGUAGUACUGGAUUCCUAACCUACAGCCGUGAACCGGCUGGGGGACAAUGUCUGGCGGGGAGUUUGACUGGGGCGGUCGCC